rnacentral:rRNA from 1 species
CGGCAACAGCUCAAAUUUGAAAUCUGGCUCCUUUGGGGGUCCGAGUUGUAAUUUGUAGAGGAUGUUUCGGGCGCGGUGCCGACCUAAGUCCUUUGGAACAGGGCGUCAUAGAGGGUGAGAACCCCGUAUGCGGUCGGCGGCCAACCCCAUGUGAAACUCCUUCGAC